rnacentral:rRNA from 1 species
AUACGGAGGGUGCAAGCGUUAAUCGGAAUUACUGGGCGUAAAGCGUACGUAGGCGGUUAGUUAAGUUAGAUGUGAAAGCCCCGGGCUUAACCUGGGAACUGCAUUUAAAACUGGCUAACUAGAGUUAAGUAGAGGGGAGUGGAAUUUCAGGUGUAGCGGUGAAAUGCGUAGAGAUCUGAAGGAACACCAGUGGCGAAGGCGACUCCCUGGACUCAAACUGACGCUGAGGUACGAAAGCGUGGGUAGCAAACGGGAUUAGAAACCCUAGUAGUCC